rnacentral:rRNA from 1 species
UACGUAGGGUGCAAGCGUUGUCCGGAAUUAUUGGGCGUAAAGAGCUCGUAGGCGGCUUGUCGCGUCGUCCGUGAAAAACCUGCAGCUCAACUGCAGGCUUGCGGUCGAUACGGGCAGGCUAGAGUUCGGUAGGGGGAGACUGGAAUUCCUGGUGUAGCGGUGAAAAUGCGCAGAUAUCAGGAGGAACACCGGUGGCGAAGGCGGGGUCUC